AAGGGAGAGGAUAAGGUAGAAAUCUACCCUCGGGACGGGGAUAGCUGCGGGAAACUGCUGGUAAUACCCGAUAAUAUCUUUGGAUCAAAGGUGUGAUUCCGCCUGAGGAUGAGUCUACUUCCUAUUAGCUAGUUGGCAGGGUAAUGGCCUACCAAGGCAACGAUGGGUAGCGGGUGUGAGAGCAUGACCCGCCUCACUGGGACUGAGAACUGCCCAGACACCUACGGGUGGCUGCAGUCGAGAAUCUUCGGCAAUGGGCGCAAGCCUGACCGAGCGACGCCGCGUGCGGGAUGAAGGCCUUCGGGUUGUAAACCGCUGUCGUAGGGGAACAAAUGUAAGUGGGUUCUCCCAUUUACUUGAGUGAUCCUAGGAGGAAGGGGAGGCUAAGCUCGUGCCAGCAGCCGCGGUAAGACGAGCUCCCCGAACGUUAUUCGGUAUUACUGGGCUUAAAGAGUUCGUAGGCGGCCCGACAGGUGAGGUGUGAAAUCCCUCGGCUCAACCGAGGAACUGCGCUUCAAACCGUCAGGCUUGAGGGAGAUAGAGGUGAGCGGAACAGAUGGU
rnacentral:rRNA from 1 species